ACUCCUACGGGAGGCAGCAGUGGGAAUAUUGGACAAUGGGGGAAACCCUGAUCCAGCCAUGCCGCGUGAGCGAUGAAGGCCUUAGGGUUGUAAAGCUCUUUCAGCGGGGAAGAUAAUGACGGUACCCGCAGAAGAAGCCCCGCUACUCCGUGCCAGCAGCCGCGGUAAUACGGAGGGGCUAGCGUUGUUCGGAAUUACUGGGCGUAAAGCGCGCGUAGGCGGAUUGGAAAGUCAGAGGUGAAAUCCCGGGGCUCAACCCCGGAACUGCCUUUGCAAUACUCCCAGUCUUGAGUUCGAGAGAGGUGAGUGGAAUUCCGAGUGUAGAGGUGAAAUUCGUAGAUAUUCGGAGGAACACCAGUGGCGAAGGCGGCUCACUGGCUCGAUACUGACGCUGAGGUGC
rnacentral:rRNA from 1 species